GACGAACGCUGGCGGCGUGCUUAACACAUGCAAGUCGAACGGAAAGGCCCUGCUUUUGUGGGGUGCUCGAGUGGCGAACGGGUGAGUAACACGUGAGUAACCUGCCCUUGACUUUGGGAUAACUUCAGGAAACUGGGGCUAAUACCGGAUAGGAGCUCCUGCUGCAUGGUGGGGGUUGGAAAGUUUCGGCGGUUGGGGAUGGACUCGCGGCUUAUCAGCUUGUUGGUGGGGUAGUGGCUUACCAAGGCUUUGACGGGUAGCCGGCCUGAGAGGGUGACCGGCCACAUUGGGACUGAGAUACGGCCCAGACGCCUACGGGAGGCAGCAGUGGGGAAUAUUGCACAAUGGGCGGAAGCCUGAUGCAGCAACGCCGCGUGCGGGAUAACGGCCUUCGGGUUGUAAACGGCUUUCGCCUGUGACGAAGCGUGAGUGACGGUAAUGGGUAAAGAAGCACCGGCUAACUACGUG
rnacentral:rRNA from 1 species